rnacentral:rRNA from 2 species
AACUUGAGAGUUUGAUCCUGGCUCAGAACGAACGCUGGCGGCAGGCCUAACACAUGCAAGUCGAACGAAGGCCCAGAGCUUGCUCUGGAUACCUUAGUGGCGCACGGGUGAGUAACGCGUGGGAAUCUGCCCCGGAGCGGGGAAUAACAGUUGGAAACGACUGCUAAUACCGCAUACGCCCUCAGGGGGAAAGGCUUCGGCCACUCUGGGAUGAGCCCGCGUUAGAUUAGCUUGUUGGUGGGGUAAUGGCCUACCAAGGCAACGAUCUAUAGCUGGUCUGAGAGGAUGAUCAGCCACACUGGGACUGAGACACGGCCCAGACUCCUACGGGAGGCAGCAGUGGGGAAUAUUGGACAAUGG